GACAUCACCACACCAAGUCACAGAUGGU
rnacentral:piRNA from 1 species